CCUACGGGUGGCAGCAGUCGAGGAUUUUUCUCAAUGGGGGCAACCCUGAAGGAGCGACGCCGCGUGGAGGAUGAAGGGCUUCGGCUUGUAAACUCCUGUCACCGACGAACAAAGCGUCCGGGCGAACAUCCCGGACGAUUGAUGGUAGUCGGAGAGGAAGGGGCGGCUAACUCUGUGCCAGCAGCCGCGGUGAUACAGAGGCCCCAAGCGUUGUUCGGAUUUACUGGGCGUAAAGGGUGUGUAGGGGGUCGGGUCAGUCCGAUGUGAAAUCCCGCUGCUU
rnacentral:rRNA from 1 species